rnacentral:rRNA from 1 species
GCUGCUUUGCUGACGAGUGGCGGACGGGUGAGUAAUGUCUGGGAAACUGCCUGAUGGAGGGGGAUAACUACUGGAAACGGUAGCUAAUACCGCAUAACGUCGCAAGACCAAAGAGGGGGACCUUCGGGCCUCUUGCCAUCGGAUGUGCCCAGAUGGGAUUAGCUAGUAGGUGGGGUAACGGCUCACCUAGGCGACGAUCCCUAGCUGGUCUGAGAGGAUGACCAGCCACACUGGAACUGAGACACGGUCCAGACUCCUACGGGAGGCAGCAGUGGGGAAUAUUGCACAAUGGGCGCAAGCCUGAUGCAGCCAUGCCGCGUGUAUGAAGAAGGCCUUCGGGUUGUAAAGUACUUUCAGCGGGGAGGAAGGGAGUAAAGUUAAUACCUUUGCUCAUUGACGUUACCCGCAGAAGAAGCACCGGCUAACUCCGUGCCAGCAGCCGCGGUAAUACGGAGGGUGCAAGCGUUAAUCGGAAUUACUGGGCGUAAAGCGCACGCAGGCGGUUUGUUAAGUCAGAUGUGAAAUCCCCGGGCUCAACCUGGGAACUGCAUCUGAUACUGGCAAGCUUGAGUCUCGUAGAGGGGGGUAGAAUUCCAGGUGUAGCGGUGAAAUGCGUAGAGAUCUGGAGGAAUACCGGUGGCGAAGGCGGCCCCCUGGACGAAGACUGACGCUCAGGUGCGAAAGCGUGGGGAGCAACAGGAUUAGAUACCCUGGUAGUCCACGCCGUAAACGAUGUCGACUUGGAGGUGUGCCCUUGAGGCGUGGCUUCCGGAGCUAACGCGUUAAGUCGACCGCCUGCGG